UGAGUACGAGACGCUAAGGCGUCGAAGUAGUGGAUGUCAUACUUCCAAGAAAAGCUUGCACUGUCAUAAAUAAAAGACGCCUGUACCAUAACCGACACAGGUGGGUAGGUAGAGUAUACUAAGGGGCGCGAGAUAACUCUCUCUAAGGAACUCGGCAAAAUAACUCCGUAACUUCGGGAGAAGGAGUGCCUUAUUCGUAAGGCUGCAAUAACAAGAUCCAAGCAACUGUUUAUCAAAAACACAGGUCUCCGCUAAGUCGUAAGACGAUGUAUGGGGGCUGACGCCUGCCCAGUGCCAGAAGGUUAAAGAAGUCGGUUAGCAUUAGCGAAGCUGGUAACUGAAGCCCUGGUGAACGGCGGCCGUAACUAUAACGGUCCUAAGGUAGCGAAAUUCCUUGUCGGGUAAGUUCCGACCCGCACGAAAGGCGUAAUGAUUUGGAUACUGUCUCGGAGAGGGGCUCGGUGAAAUAGACUUGUCUGUGAAGAUGCGGACUACCUGCACCAGGACAGAAAGACCCUAUGAAGCUUUACUGUAACUUGAAAUUGAAAUUGGACUUUAUUCGCGCAGUAUAGGUGGGAGGUGUUGAUUAUAAUCUUGCGGGAUUAUUGGAGCCAUCAGUGAGAUACCACUCUUGUAAUGUUAGAUUUCUUACUUUGAAUCAUUAUCUGGUCAAAGAACAGUUUCAGGCGGGCAGUUUGACUGGGGCGGUCGCCUCCUAAAUGGUAACGGAGGCGUACAAAGGUUCCCUCUGAACGGGUAGAAAUCGUAUCUAGAGUGUAAAGGCAUAAGGAAGCUUGACUGUGAGACCUACAAGUCGAGCAGGGACGAAUGCCGGUCUUAGUGAUCUGACGGUACUGAGUGGAAAGGCCGUCACUCAACGGAUAAAAGUUACUCUAGGAUAACAGGCUGAUCUCCCCCAAGAGUUCACAUCGACGGGGAGGUUUGGCACCUCGAUGUCGGCUCAUCGCAUCCUGGGGCGGUAGUACGUCCCAAGGGUUGGGCUGUUCGCCCAUGAAAGCGGUACGCGAGCUGGGUUCAGAACGUCGUGAGACAGUUCGGUCCAUAUCCGGUGUAGGCGUUAGAAUAUUGAGAGGAGCCUUCUUUAGUACGAGAGGACCGAGAAGGACAUACCUCUGGUGUACCAGUUAUCGUGCCAACGGUAAACGCUGGGUAGCUAUGUAUGGAGUGGAUAACCGCAGAAAGCAUCUAAGUGGGAAGCCCACCUCAAGAUAAGUAUUCUCAUC
rnacentral:rRNA from 1 species